rnacentral:rRNA from 1 species
GACGAACGCUGGCGGCGUGCUUAACACAUGCAAGUCGAACGAAAAGGCCCUGCUUUUGUGGGGUGCUCGAGUGGCGAACGGGUGAGUAACACGUGAGUAACCUGCCCUUGACUUUGGGAUAACUUCAGGAAACUGGGGCUAAUACCGGAUAGGAGCUCCUGCUGCAUGGUGGGGGUUGGAAAGUUUCGGCGGUUGGGGCUGGACUCGCGGCUUAUCAGCUUGUUGGUGGGGUAGUGGCUUACCAAGGCUUUGACGGGUAGCCGGCCUGAGAGGGUGACCGGCCACAUUGGGACUGAGAUACGGCCCAGACUCCUACGGGAGGCAGCAGUGGGGAAUAUUGCACAAUGGGCGGAAGCCUGAUGCAGCAACGCCGCGUGCGGGAUGACGGCCUUCGGGUUGUAAACCGCUGUCGCCUGUGACGAAGCGUGAGUGACGGUAAUGGGUAAAGAAGCACCGGCUAACUACGUG